GACGAACGCUGGCGGCGUGCUUAACACAUGCAAGUCGAACGGAAAGGCCCUGCUUUUGUGGGGUGCUCGAGUGGCGAACGGGUGAGUAACACGUGAGUAACCUGCCCUUGACUUUGGGAUAACUUCAGGAAACUGGGGCUAAUACCGGAUAGGAGCUCCUGCUGCAUGGUGGGGGUUGGAAAGUUUCGGCGGUUGGGGAUGGACUCGCGGCUUAUCAGCUUGUUGGUGGGGUAGUGGCUUACCAAGGCUUUGACGGGUAGCCGGCCUGAGAGGGUGACCGGCCACCUUGGGACUGAGGUACGGCCCAGGCUCCUACGGGAGGCAGCAGUGGGGAAUAUUGCACAAUGGGCGGAAGCCUGAUGCAGCAACGCCGCGUGCGGGAUGACGGCCUUCGGGUUGUAAACCGCUUUCGCCUGUGACGAAGCGUGAGUGACGGUAAUGGGUAAAGAAGCACCGGCUAACUACGUG
rnacentral:rRNA from 1 species